rnacentral:misc_RNA from 1 species
GAUGAAGAACGUAGUGAAAUGCGAUAAGUAGUGUGAAUUGCAGAAUUCAGUGAAUCAUCGAAUCUUUGAACGCACAUUGCGCCCUUUGGUAUUCCAAAGGGCAUGCCUGUUCGAGCGUCAUUUGUACCUUCAAGCUUUGCUUGGUGUUGGGUGUUUGUCUCGCCUUUGCGUGUAGACUCGCCUUAAAAUAAUUGGCAGCCGGCGUAUUGAUUUCGGAGCGCAGUACAUCUCGCGCUUUGCACUCAUAACGACAGCGUCCAAAAGUACAUUUUACACUCUUGACCUCGGAUCAGGUAGGGAUACCCGCUGAACUUAAGCAUAUCAAUAAGCGGAGGA